UAGGCUAAGUGACAACAAGUGG
rnacentral:piRNA from 1 species